GACGAACGCUGGCGGCGUGCCUAAUACAUGCAAGUAGAACGCUGAAGAGAGGAGCUUGCUCUUCUUGGAAGAGUUGCGAACGGGUGAGUAACGCGUAGGUAACCUGCCUUGUAGCGGGGGAUAACUAUUGGAAACGAUAGCUAAUACCGCAUAACAAUGGAUGACCCAUGUCAUUUAUUUGAAAGGGGCAACUGCUCCACUACAAGAUGGACCUGCGUUGUAUUAGCUAGUAGGUGAGGUAACGGCUCACCUAGGCGACGAUACAUAGCCGACCUGAGAGGGUGAUCGGCCACACUGGGACUGAGACACGGCCCAGACUCCUACGGGAGGCAGCAGUAGGGAAUCUUCGGCAAUGGGGGCAACCCUGACCGAGCAACGCCGCGUGAGUGAAGAAGGUUUUCGGAUCGUAAAGCUCUGUUGUAAGUCAAGAACGAGUGUGAGAGUGGAAAGUUCACACUGUGACGGUAGCUUACCAGAAAGGGACGGCUAACUACGUGCCAGCCGCCGCCGUAA
rnacentral:rRNA from 1 species